rnacentral:sRNA from 1 species
UGAAGGUACAGCCACACCCAGCCCGUUGCUGGCCCCACCCAGCAUCUUCCUUGCCUCAGAUGCCCCUGUAGGGCAUCCCCGAUCUGCUCCAGCCCCAUCCUCUAAUGGGGAGAGGGCCAGGGCUGGCCUCUUUUUUGAAGUCUGCAGUCUGGGGUGGAGAAGGCAGUAACAUAGCUCCUAUCUGGCAGUGUGGUGGGACCAGCCCUCACCUUCCGCAUCCGGCACAAUGAGCAGAACCUGUCUUUGGCUGAUGUGACCCAACAAGCAGGGCUGGUGAAGUCUGAACUGGAAGCACAGACAGGGCUCCAAAUCUUGCAGACGGGAGUGGGACAGAGGGAGGAGGCAGCUGCAGUCCUUCCCCGAACUGCACACAGCACCUCUCCCACGCGCUCAGUGCUGCUCACUCUGGUGGCCCUGGCAGGUGUGGCUGGGCUGCUGGUGGCUCUGGCUGUGGCUCUGUGUGUGCGGCAGCAUGCGCGGCAGCGGGACAAGGAGCGCCUGGCAGCCCUGGGGCCCGAGGGGGCCCAUGGUGACACUACCUUUGAGUACCAGGACCUGUGCCG